rnacentral:lncRNA from 1 species
ACCUUAAACAGAGAGCCAGCAUACAAAAAACAUAUGCCAGUCCUGAAAGAGACACAUGAUGAGAGAGAUUCUACAGGCCAGGAUGGGGUGUCAGAGAAAAGGGUGUCAUCCAACAGGACAGGGUUGAUGACCUGUUCAACAGCUUGAAACGUUGAUUCCCUGUCACAAUGGAUGACAUUUUUGACAUCACUUGUUAGAAGAGCAACUCUGAAAGAAAACGAGCAAAUUCCAAAAUAUGAAAAGAUUCACAAUUUCAAGAACUACCUUUGUUUGGAGCUUCACCUCUUGCAUGUGACACAACCCUGAUCUCUGCUUGUGCUCUGCCUGGUACACAUGCCCUUGUUCUUAAAGAGAAGUCCAUCUCUAGGGGGUGUGCUAAUUUGCUUUGAUGGUUGCUGUUACAGCUCAUUACUCCGCAAUUGUAUUACUUCAGUGUGUUUUUCUUAAUCUGUUACCAUGAAUAUAUUUACUAUUUGAUGGAA